rnacentral:rRNA from 1 species
UACGUAGGCAGCAAGCGUUGUUCGGAGUUACUGGGCGUAAAGGGUGUGUAGGCGGUUCUUUAAGUUUGGUGUGAAAUCUCCCGGCUCAACUGGGAGGUGCGCCGAAUACUGAGGACUAGAGUACGGGAGAGGAAAGUGGAAUUCCUGGUGUAGCGGUGAAAUGCGUAGAUAUCAGGAGGAACACCGGUGGUGUAGACGGCUUCUGGACCGUAACUGACGCUGAAACACGAAAGCGUGGGUAGCAAACAGG